rnacentral:snRNA from 1 species
GGAUAUGAGGGUGACCUGGCUGCAACAUCUGUCACCCCAUUGAUGGCCAGAGUGGAUUCGGCUAUCUGGCUAGGCGGGUGUCCCCUUCCUCCCUCACUGCUCCAGGUGCGUCCCUCCCACAGCUGCGCACUUGGUCGAAGAGGACAAACUUCCCCACUAGAGGAGGACUGUUUUUCGGUCAAAGGUAUCCUAGUGGCUGUGCUCCCCUGCUAGAACCUCCCAACAAGCUCUCAAGGUCCAUAAGGUAACACGUGAGUUACCUUAAGUGGCAUAAAUUUAAUAUACAAUAUUCAUUUAU